rnacentral:rRNA from 1 species
UUCUUGAAUGAGUUGCGAACGGGUGAGUAACGCGUAGGUAACCUGCCUUGUAGCGGGGGAUAACUAUUGGAAACGAUAGCUAAUACCGCAUAACAAUGGGUGACACAUGUCAUUUAUUUGAAAGGGGCAAUUGCUCCACUACAAGAUGGACCUGCGUUGUAUUAGCUAGUAGGUGAGGUAACGGCUCACCUAGGCGACGAUACAUAGCCGACCUGAGAGGGUGAUCGGCCACACUGGGACUGAGACACGGCCCAGACUCCUACGGGAGGCAGCAGUAGGGAAUCUUCGGCAAUGGGGGCAACCCUGACCGAGCAACGCCGCGUGAGUGAAGAAGGUUUUCGGAUCGUAAAGCUCUGUUGUAAGUCAAGAAUGAGUGUGAGAGUGGAAAGUUCACACUGUGACGGUAGCUUACCAGAAAGGGACGGCUAACUACGUGCCAGCAGCCGCGGUAAUACGUAGGUCCCGAGCGUUGUCCGGAUUUAUUGGGCGUAAAGCGAGCGCAGGCGGUUUGAUAAGUCUGAAGUUAAAGGCUGUGGCUCAACCAUAGUUCGCUUUGGAAACUGUCAAACUUGAGUGCAGAAGGGGAGAGUGGAAUUCCAUGUGUAGCGGUGAAAUGCGUAGAUAUAUGGAGGAACACCGGUGGCGAAAGCGGCUCUCUGGUCUGUAACUGACGCUGAGGCUCG